rnacentral:lncRNA from 1 species
GCUAUAUGUGAAUGCUGGUGCCGAAAGAAACCAAAGAAAUCCCUCUGGGAGACUAAACAUGUAUUCUAUCCAGACUGCUGCUUAGGCACAGAAAAUAAUUGCCUUCAGAUCUGUCGUCCCAGAAACAAACCAAGUAAAGACUCUCUGCCCUUGUGGACCGUGAAGUUUAGUGGGGAAGACUGAUAUUGGACACAGCAUUAUAAAGAAGAAAAUAAUAAUGAAGGAGCCAGCUGAGUUUGGGGUUAGAAAAGGACUCUAGAAAUGAGUUAUUGAGAAAAAAAUACAAAGACAUCCCAAAAGCAGUAAACAGAGCAUAAGCAGAGAGGAGGAGAGAGAGAUGUACAAAUCCCUCAGAAAAUACCAGCAGAGAAGUACAGCUAUACUGGAAAUCACAGUUCAGCGACGG